rnacentral:misc_RNA from 1 species
GAUGAAGAACGUAGCGAAAUGCGAUAAGUAAUGUGAAUUGCAGAAUUCAGUGAAUCAUCGAAUCUUUGAACGCACAUUGCGCCCCUUGGUAUUCCGGGGGGCAUGCCUGUUCGAGCGUCAUUUCAACCCCCAAGCUUCUGCUUGGUCUUGGGCCGUGCCGGCAACGGCUGGCCUUAAAACUAGUGGCGGUGCCAUCGAGCUCUACGCGUAGUAAUUCUAUCUCGCGUCUGGGCUUCGGUGGACGCUGGCCAGCAACCCCCAAUUUUCUAUGGUUGACCUCGGAUCAGGUAGGGAUACCCGCUGAACUUAAGCAUAUCAAUAAGCGGAGGA